CCGACAUGUCUAGUAUAAGCAAUUAUACCGUGAAACUGCGAAUGGCUCAUUAAAUCAGUUAUCGUUUAUUUGAUAGUACCUUACUACUUGGAUAACCGUGGUAAUUCUAGAGCUAAUACAUGCUAAAAACCCCAACUUCGGGAGGGGUGUAUUUAUUAGAUAAAAAACCAACGCCCUUCGGGGCUUCUUGGUGAUUCAUGAUAACUUCACGGAUCGCAUGGCCUUGCGCCGGCGACGGUUCAUUCAAAUUUCUGCCCUAUCAACUUUCGAUGGUAAGGUAUUGGCUUACCAUGGUUUCAACGGGUAACGGGGAAUUAGGGUUCGAUUCCGGAGAGGGAGCCUGAGAAACGGCUACCACAUCCAAGGAAGGCAGCAGGCGCGCAAAUUACCCAAUCCCGACACGGGGAGGUAGUGACAAUAAAUACUGAUACAGGGCUCUUUUGGGUCUUGUAAUUGGAAUGAGUACAAUUUAAACCUCUUAACGAGGAACAAUUGGAGGGCAAGUCUGGUGCCAGCAGCCGCGGUAAUUCCAGCUCCAAUAGCGUAUAUUAAAGUUGUUGCAGUUAAAAAGCUCGUAGUUGAAACUUGGGUCUGGCUGGCAGGUCCGCCUCACCGCGUGUACUUGUCCGGCCGGGCCUUUCCUUCUGGAGAACCUCAUGCCCUUCACUGGGCGUGUUGGGGAACCAGGACUUUUACUUUGAAAAAAUUAGAGUGUUCAAAGCAGGCCUUUGCUCGAAUACGUUAGCAUGGAAUAAUAGAAUAGGACGUGCGGUCCUAUUUUGUUGGUUUCUAGGACCGCCGUAAUGAUUAAUAGGGACAGUCGGGGGCAUCAGUAUUCAAUUGUCAGAGGUGAAAUUCUUGGAUUUAUUGAAGACUAACUACUGCGAAAGCAUUUGCCAAGGAUGUUUUCAUUAAUCAGUGAACGAAAGUUAGGGGAUCGAAGACGAUCAGAUACCGUCGUAGUCUUAACCGUAAACUAUGCCGACUAGGGAUCGGGCGAUGUUCUUUUUCUGACUCGCUCGGCACCUUACGAGAAAUCAAAGUUUUUGGGUCUGGGG
rnacentral:rRNA from 2 species